AUACUGUUUACAAUAUUGUUAUGACGUACAUGAAAACUCCAUCAAGGGUAGUGACAAUACUACUUUGUCAGAACUUCCAUGCACUGAAGCUGAUCUCACACUAUCAGAGCUGAUGUCAAUUGAGGAACUGGCAAAUGGCGACCUGGGAGAGUGCCUCCUCAUACAACCUCCACCUGCCACACCUCCCAAAAGUCGCCACCUGCAGAAGUGGCGUCGGGAGCCUGUACGAGUGUUUCGUACCAGAGCCAAGCAGCAGUAGCAGCAGUUGUGAGUAAGUGAGCAGACAGACAGACUUAUCCUAAGGACAGAGAAUUGUCCUACAUUAGCAGAGCCAUUGUUCAACGUCAUGCCCCAGGUCUGCCGCACAGAGAAAUGAAGAAUUUUCAGAAGCAUUUUUUGGCACCACAUCAUCAUCUCCACUGCAGUUUGCAAGAUGAGCUACACACUUUUUAAUUGUCCUUAAUGUAAAGAAGAGCCAGAUUUAUUACAUCUUGUUCAGUGAUCAAGUGUGUUUUGUUCAAUAAAUUAUCACUUUACGUAUUGAG